rnacentral:rRNA from 1 species
UACGUAGGGUGCAAGCGUUAAUCGGAAUUACUGGGCGUAAAGCGUGCGCAGGCGGUUGUGCAAGACAGAUGUGAAAGCCCCGGGCUCAACCUGGGAAUUGCAUUCGAGACUGAAUAGCUAGGGUACGGUAGAGGGAAGCGGAAUUUCCGGUGUAGCGGUGAAAUGCGUAGAUAUCGGAAGGAACAUCAGUGGCGAAAGCGGCUUCCUGGACCGUACCGACGUUCAGGCACGAAAGCGUGGGGAGCAAACAGGAAUUGAGACUA